GACGAACGCUGGCGGCGUGCUUAACACAUGCAAGUUGAGCGACGAACCAGGGCUUGCCCUGGGGCAAAGCAGCGAACGGGUGAGUAACACGUGGGUAACGUGCCCCGAUAACCGGGACAACCCGAGGAAACUCGGGCUAAUACCGGAUGUGCCCACCAGACAUCAGUCUGGUGUGUAAAGGAAGCUUCGGCCUCCGUAUCGGGAGCGGCCCGCGGCCCAUUAGUUAGUUGGUGAGGUAACGGCUCACCAAGACCGCGAUGGGUAGCUGGUCUGAGAGGACGAUCAGCCACACUGGGACUGAGACACGGCCCAGACUCCUACGGGAGGCAGCAGUGGGGAAUCUUGCGCAAUGCGCGAAAGCGUGACGCAGCAACGCCGCGUGGGGGAAGACGGCCUUCGGGUUGUAAACCCCUUUCAGGAGGGACGAAGGUGUGACGGUGAAUAGCCGAUCGCACUGACGGUACCUCCACAAGAAGCUCCGGCUAACUACGUGC
rnacentral:rRNA from 1 species